UCUUUAUGGGGUGACUGCGUACCUUUUGUAUAAUGGGUCAGCGACUUAUAUUCUGUAGCAAGGUUAACCGAAUAGGGGAGCCGAAGGGAAACCGAGUCUUAACUGGGCGUUAAGUUGCAGGGUAUAGACCCGAAACCCGGUGAUCUAGCCAUGGGCAGGUUGAAGGUUGGGUAACACUAACUGGAGGACCGAACCGACUAAUGUUGAAAAAUUAGCGGAUGACUUGUGGCUGGGGGUGAAAGGCCAAUCAAACCGGGAGAUAGCUGGUUCUCCCCGAAAGCUAUUUAGGUAGCGCCUCGUGAAUUCAUCUCCGGGGGUAGAGCACUGUUUCGGCAAGGGGGUCAUCCCGACUUACCAACCCGAUGCAAACUGCGAAUACCGGAGAAUGUUAUCACGGGAGACACACGGCGGGUGCUAACGUCCGUCGUGAAGAGGGAAACAACCCAGACCGCCAGCUAAGGUCCCAAAGUCAUGGUUAAGUGGGAAACGAUGUGGGAAGGCCCAGACAGCCAGGAUGUUGGCUUAGAAGCAGCCAUCAUUUAAAGAAAGCGUAAUAGCUCACUGGUCGAGUCGGCCUGCGCGGAAGAUGUAACGGGGCUAAACCAUGCACCGAAGCUGCGGCAGCGACACUAUGUGUUGUUGGGUAGGGGAGCGUUCUGUAAGCCUGUGAAGGUGUACUGUGAGGUAUGCUGGAGGUAUCAGAAGUGCGAAUGCUGACAUAAGUAACGAUAAAGCGGGUGAAAAGCCCGCUCGCCGGAAGACCAAGGGUUCCUGUCCAACGUUAAUCGGGGCAGGGUGAGUCGACCCCUAAGGCGAGGCCGAAAGGCGUAGUCGAUGGGAAACAGGUUAAUAUUCCUGUACUUGGUGUUACUGCGAAGGGGGGACGGAGAAGGCUAUGUUGGCCGGGCGACGGUUGUCCCGGUUUAAGCGUGUAGGCUGAUUUUCCAGGCAAAUCCGGAAAAUCAAGGCUGAGGCGUGAUGACGAGGCACUACGGUGCUGAAGCAACAAAUGCCCUGCUUCCAGGAAAAGCCUCUAAGCAUCAGGUAACAUCAAAUCGUACCCCAAACCGACACAGGUGGUCAGGUAGAGAAUACCAAGGCGCUUGAGAGAACUCGGGUGAAGGAACUAGGCAAAAUGGUGCCGUAACUUCGGGAGAAGGCACGCUGAUAUGUAGGUGAAGCGACUUGCUCGUGGAGCUGAAAUCAGUCGAAGAUACCAGCUGGCUGCAACUGUUUAUUAAAAACACAGCACUGUGCAAACACGAAAGUGGACGUAUACGGUGUGACGCCUGCCCGGUGCCGGAAGGUUAAUUGAUGGGGUUAGCGGUAACGCGAAGCUCUUGAUCGAAGCCCCGGUAAACGGCGGCCGUAACUAUAACGGUCCUAAGGUAGCGAAAUUCCUUGUCGGGUAAGUUCCGACCUGCACGAAUGGCGUAAUGAUGGCCAGGCUGUCUCCACCCGAGACUCAGUGAAAUUGAACUCGCUGUGAAGAUGCAGUGUACCCGCGGCAAGACGGAAAGACCCCGUGAACCUUUACUAUAGCUUGACACUGAACAUUGAGCCUUGAUGUGUAGGAUAGGUGGGAGGCUUUGAAGUGUGGACGCCAGUCUGCAUGGAGCCGACCUUGAAAUACCACCCUUUAAUGUUUGAUGUUCUAACGUUGGCCCGUUAUCCGGGUUGCGGACAGUGUCUGGUGGGUAGUUUGACUGGGGCGGUCUCCUCCUAAAGAGUAACGGAGGAGCACGAAGGUUGGCUAAUCCUGGUCGGACAUCAGGAGGUUAGUGCAAUGGCAUAAGCCAGCUUGACUGCGAGCGUGACGGCGCGAGCAGGUGCGAAAGCAGGUCAUAGUGAUCCGGUGGUUCUGAAUGGAAGGGCCAUCGCUCAACGGAUAAAAGGUACUCCGGGGAUAACAGGCUGAUACCGCCCAAGAGUUCAUAUCGACGGCGGUGUUUGGCACCUCGAUGUCGGCUCAUCACAUCCUGGGGCUGAAGUAGGUCCCAAGGGUAUGGCUGUUCGCCAUUUAAAGUGGUACGCGAGCUGGGUUUAGAACGUCGUGAGACAGUUCGGUCCCUAUCUGCCGUGGGCGCUGGAGAACUGAGGGGGGCUGCUCCUAGUACGAGAGGACCGGAGUGGACGCAUCACUGGUGUUCGGGUUGUCAUGCCAAUGGCACUGCCCGGUAGCUAAAUGCGGAAGAGAUAAGUGCUGAAAGCAUCUAAGCACGAAACUUGCCCCG
rnacentral:rRNA from 1 species